GAUGAACGCUAGCGAUAGGCUUAACACAUGCAAGUCGAGGGGCAGCAUGGUCUUAGCUUGCUAAGGCUGAUGGCGACCGGCGCACGGGUGCGUAACGCGUAUGCAACUUGCCUCACAGAGGGGGAUAACCCGUCGAAAGACGGACUAAUACCGCGUACACUCUAUGUUGGGCAUCCAAUGUAGAGGAAAUGAAAUUCGCUGUGAGAUAGGCAUGCGUCCCAUUAGCUAGUUGGUGAGGUAACGGCUCACCAAGGCGACGAUGGGUAGGGGAACUGAGAGGUUGAACCCCCACACUGGUACUGAGACACGGACCAGACUCCUACGGGAGGCAGCAGUGAGGAAUAUUGGUCAAUGGGCGAGAGCCUGAACCAGCCAAGUCGCGUGAAGGAUGACUGUCUUAUGGACUGUAAACUUCUUUUAUACGGGAAUAACAAGAGUCACGUGUGGCUCCCUGCAUGUACCGUAUGAAUAAGCAUCGGCUAACUCCGUG
rnacentral:rRNA from 1 species